rnacentral:rRNA from 1 species
UGGAUCCCGACUUUGAUCAUGGCUCAGGAUGAACGCUAGCGACAGGCUUAACACAUGCAAGUCGAGGGGCAGCGGGGAGAGUGCUUGCACUCUCCGCCGGCGACCGGCGCACGGGUGAGUAACACGUAUGCAACCUGCCCUGUGCAGGGGGAUAACCCGGAGAAAUCCGGACUAAUACCGCAUAACACCCUGCGGAGACAUCUCCGUGGGGUCAAAGGAGGCGACUCCGGCACAGGAUGGGCAUGCGGCGCAUUAGCUAGUUGGCGGGGCAACGGCCCACCAAGGCGACGAUGCGUAGGGGUUCUGAGAGGAAGGUCCCCCACACUGGUACUGAGACACGGACCAGACUCCUACGGGAGGCAGCAGUGAGGAAUAUUGGUCAAUGGGCGCGAGCCUGAACCAGCCAAGUCGCGUGAGGGAAGACGGUCCUAUGGAUUGUAAACCUCUUUAGCCGGGGAGCAAGCCGGGGCACGUGUGCCCCGGCGGAGAGUACCCGGAGAAUAAGCAUCGGCUAACUCCGUGCCAGCAGCCGCGGUAAUACGGAGGAUGCGUGCGUUAUCCGGAUUUAUUGGGUUUAAAGGGUGCGUAGGCGGGCUGUUAAGUCAGCGGUAAAAUGUCGGGGCUCAACCCCGGCCGGCCGUUGAAACUGGCGGUCUUGAGUGAGCGAGAAGUAUGCGGAAUGCGUGGUGUAGCGGUGAAAUGCAUAGAUAUCACGCAGAACUCCGAUUGCGAAGGCAGCAUACCGGCGCUCAACUGACGCUGAGGCACGAAAGCGUGGGGAUCAAACAGGAUUAGAUACCCUGGUAGUCCACGCAGUAAACGAUGAAUGCUAAUUGUCCGGAGCUACGGCUCUGGGUGAUACAGCGAAAGCGUUAAGCAUUCCACCUGGGGAGUACGCCGGCAACGGUGCAACUCAAAGGAAUUGACGGA